rnacentral:lncRNA from 1 species
UUUUACAACCCUUAAACACUCUCAAAAACCAUCUCAAAGUCUCUAAAUUCGCAGCAAUAACUCAAGUUCGGACAGAUUGUCCAGCCUUCACUAAAUUCAUGACCCUCCUUAAGGACUUGGUGUUCCAACUUCCUAAUCAACCAACUCACUCGCGGAUUCAAGUAGAAGACUUGCAAAACCGUUGAUGAGGAAGAUGCUAAGAAAUGAAGUAGCGUUGAUGCCUAGAUACACAUAUAGACGUUAGGGUUUAAUAUGUUGUAUAAAUUUUGUUAUGUUGUUAUGUUUCUUUUGUUAAACUUGUUGUAUUUGAAUUUCUUGUAAUGUUGACAAUUUGUCUUAUGAAAUGAAAUCGGAUUAUU